rnacentral:lncRNA from 1 species
CUUUUGUUGAAUUUCUAUUGCUAUUGCUUUAACAUUUUUAAUUGAAUGUAUUUUGCUGUUUGUUUGUGACAUCAGGCGCUGUCUGGUAAAUUUUUGUUAUACGUUUUUGCAUACUAUUAGUAUCUAAUAAAAGGAAUUGGUAGUUCACCUACAUCAUUACUAACCUGAUGUUGACACGGAGGUUGUGAGUUCGAACCCACACGUGCCACCGUCGUUCGAUUCCAAUCUUAAGGUG